rnacentral:piRNA from 1 species
UGGCCUAAGGAACAAAGUUUCAGGUGGC